CAGGUUACCUGCUCCAGUCUAUUGCGCAGAUCAAUGAAUUGGCCGGAGAGAAGCUGGAAGUCGUGAGAGGUUGAAGUGAGUAAAGAUGAAUGCUGCUCCAGCACCACCCCCUGCUGGGCCAAGGUUGCCUGCACUUAUUCUCUGAUAGAUUUACUUGCACAAUCCAUGACGUGGCACGUUUGUACUGUGAGGGAUGAGUCAGAGAGGAAUUCUGAUGCAAGUAAAAUGUAUUAAAUAAUGCAGGAGAAACAGUGGUCGCAAACACGACCACAGAUAGGGAGGAGAAAGAGAGUCAAAAACAGUGGUAAUCAAUGGAUAUAGUCACAAAGGUCCUUCGGUGUACUGCUUAAGACAAGACAAACCGAUGAUUGAUCCGGAGAGAGAGUCGAAUACCAAUGAGACAAUAAGUUCAUGAGAAAAAGUUCACAGAUAGUAAUCCACAGAGAUGGGAGGCAGGAAUCGGACCAGGUGCUACACUUGAACCCCAGCUAAAUACUGAGAGCAAACCACAGUGACUAAACAAUGAAACAGGCAUGACAAGAUCACAAAUACUAGGCAGGAUUCGAGCAAAACAUGGCAGUGAUCACCCGGAAAACUCACACGCGUGACGAAAGACAAACACCUGACGUUUAAAUAAACCUUAUAGAGACAAGACACAGAUGGAAAACAAUUAGAGAAACGAGGGGUAGGAGACACAAAGUGGAGCACACGUGAGGAGCUGUUAAAACAUAAAGGUUUUAGGUACUGGGAUCAUUGCAAUUAUCCUGGUGUUCUCCAUUCUUCAAUUCUUCAUCUCUAUCUGCAUCUGCAGAGCCUGUUCCUGUGAUGCAAACCCACUCGUGAUCAGUAAUACAAUAGACCUGAUGGUUUUGGAGAAAGAAGCGUCCCCACUAAACAUGCCACAACCACCAAGGAAAAAUUAGCAGAAUGGAAACAAAAUAUUUAAAGGACUAAAAUGGAGGACAGAGGCCUUUUGUAAUAAAAAAAGACAUGUGGUUCUCAUUAAUAAAAUAAAGUGCUAAUACAGAUUUUUUUUAGUGAACUAAUUAUCGUAACAUGUCUUGUCACUCCACAGAGACCAUAUGACACAUUUUGUCAUAGGGAUUCUGUGGACUUUUGCGUGUUUCUGUCAGGACAUCGGACAGCUUUCACACCCCAGCUAGCCUAUGUUGCAUAAGCGCAAGUGUUUCAAUGUCAGCGGAAGUGUAAUGUAAAUGCGCGUGUGUCAUUGUAUUUCGCCUCAUUUGGCGUCCCAUACUUUAAUUAUGGAUGUUUGUGCUUUUUGGAGCUUUGCCAUAUUAUAACAUAAUUUAUUUGUGUUCAUUUGAAGAAGUCAUAUAUAUCUGAGGUGGCAUAGGAUUGAGCAAAUUAUGAGAAGAUUUUCAUUUUUCAGUAAAUAAUUUCUUUAAUGUUACAUCAGACUAUCUGUGAGAAUAAAUGACAAUGUAUUUGAGAAUAUUUACAGUAACUGUAGACGUUAUGAUUCUUUUCAAUAUAGUUUUUUUAUCAAAACAAUAGUGUUUCCAGAUUUUAUCCCGCAUUUUAUGAUUUGAACAGCAGCAUGGUUAGAUUGUAGCUUUUGUCAAUUUUU